rnacentral:rRNA from 1 species
AGCGAACGUUUGCGGCGGGCCUAACACAUGCAAGUCGAACGCACUAGCAAUAGUGAGUGGCGCACGGGUGCGUAACACGUGGGUAAUCGACCCUUCAGCCUGGGAUAACGACUCGAAAGGGUCGCUAAUACCGGAUACGGCGCGAGAGGCUUCGGCUUCUCACGAGAAAGCCACGCAAGGGGCACUGAAGGACGAGCCUGCGGCCCAUCAGCUAGUUGGUGAGGUAAGAGCUCACCAAGGCUAAGACGGGUAGCUGGUCUGAGAGGAUGAUCAGCCACACUGGAACUGAGACACGGUCCAGACUCCUACGGGAGGCAGCAGUGGGGAAUAUUGCGCAAUGGGCGAAAGCCUGACGCAGCCACGCCGCGUGAGCGAUGAAGGCCUCGGUCGUAAGACUCUGUGGGAGGAGACGAAGAAAGACCUAGUGAAGAGCAGGCCUUGACGGUAGUCUCCUUAGCAAGCACCGGC